rnacentral:rRNA from 1 species
UACGGAGGAGGCAAGCGUUAUCCGGAAUUAUUGGGCGUAAAGCGUCCGCAGGUGGCUAUUCAGGUCUGCGGUCAAAGACUGGGGCUUAACCCUGGAAAGGCCGUGGAAACUGAAGAGCUAGAGUGCAGUAGGGGUAGAGGGAAUUCCCGGUGUAGCGGUGAAAUGCGUAGAGCUCGGGAAGAACAUCAGUGGCGAAAGCGCUCUACUGGACCUUAUCUGACAUUGAGGGACGAAAGCUAGGGGAGCGAAUGGG